rnacentral:rRNA from 1 species
UACGUAGGGUCCGAGCGUUGUCCGGAAUUAUUGGGCGUAAAGAGCUCGUAGGCGGCUUGUCGCGUCGACCGUGAAAACUCGCAGCUCAACUGCGAGCCUGCGGUCGAUACGGGCAGGCUAGAGUUCGGUAGGGGAGACUGGAAUUCCUGGUGUAGCGGUGAAAUGCGCAGAUAUCAGGAGGAACACCGGUGGCGAAGGCGGGUCUCUGGGCCGAUACUGACGCUGAGGAGCGAAAGCGUGGGGAGCGAACAGG